rnacentral:rRNA from 1 species
UACGUAGGGACCAAGCGUUGUUCGGAUUUACUGGGCGUAAAGGGCGCGUAGGCGGCUUAACAAGUCACUUGUGAAAUCUCCGGGCUUAACUUGGAACGGCCAAGUGAAACUGUCAAGCUAGAGUGCAGAAGGGGCAAUCGGAAUUCUUGGUGUAGCGGUGAAAUGCGUAGAUAUCAAGAGGAACACCUGAGGUGAAGACGGGUUGCUGGGCUGACACUGACGUGAGGCGCGAAAGCCAGGGGAGCAAACGGGG